rnacentral:tRNA from 1 species
GCGGGCAUAGCACAGUGGUAGUGCGUCACCUUGCCAUGGUGAAGGUCGCGGGUUCGAGCCCCGCUGCCCGCUCCA